rnacentral:rRNA from 1 species
AUUGAACGCUGGCGGCAUGCCUUACACAUGCAAGUCGAACGGCAGCGGGGGAGAAGCUUGCUUUUCCUGCCGGCGAGUGGCGAACGGGUGAGUAAUACAUCGGAACGUGCCCUGUAGUGGGGGAUAACUAGUCGAAAGAUUAGCUAAUACCGCAUACGACCUGAGGGUGAAAGUGGGGGACUGCAAGGCCUCAUGCUAUAGGAGCGGCCGAUGUCUGAUUAGCUAGUUGGUGGGGUAAAGGCCUACCAAGGCGACGAACAGUAGCUGGUCUGAGAGGACGAUCAGCCACACUGGGACUGAGACACGGCCCAGACUCCUACGGGAGGCAGCAGUGGGGAAUUUUGGACAAUGGGCGAAAGCCUGAUCCAGCAAUGCCGCGUGUGUGAAGAAGGCCUUCGGGUUGUAAAGCACUUUUGUCCGGAAAGAAAUGGCUCUGGUUAAUACCUGGGGUCGAUGACGGUACCGGAAGAAUAAGGACCGGCUAACUACGUGCCAGCCGCCGCGGUAA